rnacentral:lncRNA from 1 species
CGAUUACAGGUAAAGCGACUAUACAAAAUAAAGACUAAUAUUGGUCAUUUCGCAGCCCGGUUUCCACUUCCGGUGACAUGCGCAGUGCGUCUGACGAUUACAGUGAUUUCAGCAUCUCUGCAAUGUGACGAAAGGACUAAAUUGCCAGAAGAGAGAGCGUUUGAAGAGAACAGCACGACUCCACAAACAGAUGAGUCGGAGUAUGAGGCUGCUCAUGUGAAAGAUGGAGAGACAAAGGCAGUGACAGACACUACAGAGCAAAACUUGCUUGAGAAGGAAGAUAGUCAUGAUGGUGAGAGAGAGGCGCUGACAGAUGCUACAGGCGCGAACACCGGAAGUGACGCGCCCAUAGAUUCAGACUCUGGGGACGACACCUCUCAACAGAACACAGAACACAGUGAGCAUGUGGAAGAGAAUGUGAAAAGUUCUGAGGAUUUCAGUGAUGAAGAAUACGAUGUAUAUUACGAUUAAGACAGUGUGAAGCAGCUGUGUGUAAUCCAUCUAACAUCUUUAAAACUAAAUGCAUUGUUUUAUAAAGCAUGUUGCUGAACAUUCUAACCAACCGUGUGUACCACCUGGACAAAAAACAUGCAUGGUGGCCUUUCACACAAUUUGUGAUGGCUGCUUUUUUUUUUUCCAAAUAAAGACUGUAAACACUGGCGGGUGUCCAGAGUUCAUAUUAAUGCCAGGCUGCAGGUGGGUGUAAUAACAGAUGAUUACAUGGCUUCUUAGAGGCAACCGUCUGAGUAGCAGAUGUAGGCAGUGUUAGAACAUAUCUAGGACGGUUAUCCAGGCCAGUCCUUGGGUGCUCAUUUGAGCUUUAUUUAUAUCAUCUUAUUUUUGGACCGAAGAUGCAUCAUUGCCCGUCCCCAAGUCCCACAACCUGAUGAGGACAAGUUGUUUUACUGCAUAUAGAAAAAGACUCUUAAACUCUCAAGAAAUGCUUUUUGUCAUUUUUGAAGGAAAUUUUGAUAGGUUUGUUAAUAAAUGCAUGUCUCGUCUGAUACAAUCAUUAUUUUAAUGGCCAAAAUAACGUGUAGAGUUUUGCCUGAUUUGAACCAGAAAUACAAUUAAAAUUAA